CACUGCCAUCAGCUUCUCCUCCCUCUACCCCGCAGAGUUAGCAGCUCACGGCCCACUCAGGUCCUGUUCCCAACACACAGGUACCAGAAGCAGAUCACAGCAUCUCAGCGAGGGAAGCCUCACCCUUCUGAAUAGACCCACUACCUGACCACUCCGCUGCUGCCAACCCGGUCCAAGCCGCCAUCACCUCUCACCUGGAUUGCAGCAACCGCCUCCUAAUAGAUCCCUCUGACUCCACCCUCAUCUCCUUCCAGUCUAUCAUCAAUCCAGCACUAGAGAAAUCACUGGAUAACCUCAAUCCUGUCACAUCGCCCAUCUGCUGCAAGCCUGCCAAGGUCUCUCCAUGUCACCUGGAGUCAAAGUCAAAGCCAAGAUCCUUAAAUGGCUCCACAGCUACAUGUUUUGUGCCCUGUAGCUCCUGGACCACAUCUCUGACUUCUAUCUCCUCAUUCACUCCAUUUUAGUCACAAGGGCCUCCUUGUCACUCCUCAAACAUACUCCUGCCUUGGAGCAUUGUCCCAGCUUUGCCCUAGGCCUGGAAGACUCUCGUCCACUUGCCUAAUUCCCUGGCCUCCUGUAUUUUCUUGCUCAAAGGUCUCCCACUCAGUGUACCCUGCCCCCACUUUCUUUCCCCUUAACAAAUGCAUGUCAACAAUAACAAA